CUUACAUUUAAACUGAAGUUGCCAGAUACGAAGUUCACAUUUCUCACAAUUCUUCACUGACAAAGUCAACAAAAAAGAAGCAACUGCGUAAAAGGACUCGACUGCCUGGCUCCAGAACUGCACCUUUGUAAAUGCAAGGCGGCAUGAUUUAGAGCAUCUAAAACAUCCUCUCCUCUCGGACAUGAGUAUGUCAACCAAAUUAAGAUGGGUGAGCUGAUCCCAGAGACUGCUGACUCGAUACUGAAAUACAGGCUUCACAACGAGCCUUACUUAUCUCUACGGAGAAAAACAUUCUUAGUUUUAAGAGAACAAUGUUGAAGAGACAAGAGAGUCAUCACCUUGAGACAGACAACUAUUUAAGCAGUGUGGGAUAAAUUUUCUGAAAGCUUCAACAAUUUGAAAGCACAGCAACAUUUCCCAUCUGAAGUACUCCAUCUAAAAUGCAGUACUUUAUACACUAUUAUUAAUAAUUAAAAGAGCUGAAGUUACGCCUCUUUGAAACCUAUGUUAUAAUGGCUAAAAAUCUUUAUUCACAACAGAAUUUAGCUGAAAAAUAUAAUCGAUACUGAAAUGUCUUGAGUGCCGUUCACAGUUUCUAAGCAAGUUCACUGGCUGAAAUCACAAAGACUGAACUUUCUCAGAUCCGUAUGAAACACCAACAAAAACAUUUUAUUUUUUCCAGUAUGUAAGAGUACUCACAUGGCUUUUUAUGCAUCUUUAUACUUGAAGGCUGUGGAAUUAAAUAACCUGCUCCAUAGUUAAAUGGUCAGUGCAACCACAGCUGUCUGUGCGUGAGAACAGGCUCGAACUACAUCACCUCUUGAGAUGCCAUGCAACCUGAAUUAUCCUGCAAUCUUACGACUGUUGUCCAUAAAACCUAACUAAUAAAAUGACCAAACGCUGUAUUUUCAUGUUGUAACUGAAGAGGAAAGCUCUAGUUAAAAAAAGUUUUUAAAAAGU